rnacentral:tRNA from 1 species
CGUCGCCGUCGGUGACGGCGCGCACCACGGCGCCCAGGACGUCGUCCAACCGCGGCAGGGCGGGACGCUCGUGCUCGGCGCCCGGGGCGAGGUC